rnacentral:lncRNA from 1 species
GAAAAUAGCUCACAUGCAUUUCUGUGCCUGGCAGCAACCAUCAACAUCCAAUAACUUCUCAGGUGUUGGUAGGAUCUUGUGAAAUCCUCUCCUCUUCGAGAUGAUUUGUUUUUCCAGAAAAGUCUUUUUAGUAUCAUUAGAAGACCUAAGACCACCUGUCUUACGUCUUACAUCUUUAAUUCAAGAAUAAAUUCCUUCCACAUCUCUGUUUCUGAAAUAGGUACUUGACAUACAAAUGUGUUCAAAAAUGACAAGUAUUUCCAAUAUUCAGCAAGCUGUCUUUACUAUUAAAGCCCCACUUCAGUUAACUUUUAUAUGCAUAUAUCCAUCAAGAUAUACUUAUUUGUCUGUACCAAUAAAAUACACAGAAAUGGGGCUAUCAGCACAGAUACUCAUAUAGACCCAUGUCUGUAUGUUAUCAUAAAUCCAAAUUUCCAUUAGCAAGAGAUAACUAUAUCAAAUUAUUUAUGUAUACCUAUACCUUGGUACCUUGGAGAGGUCAAAUAUUGUCACAACAGAAAAGAUAAAGAAAAACUAUCCAAGAACUACAAAGUCUUUGCAACCCAUGUCUCAUAUCUUGAGAUGCAGUUCUAUCAAUCAAUUUCCAUGCUACUUUCUUUGUGGCUCUAGCAAAAUGUUUUAAAAAUUGUAUUUAAAACAUAUUGAAGAGUAAAAAGUAAAUAACACAUUUACAGAUUUUUUUUUUCUGCAUCUGUUUUGAUUCAAGGUCUUUUGCAACCUAGAUGCCUUUCAACUGGAAGCUGACCUUGAACUCCUCCUAUCUCCUUGGUCCCUCCAAUCCUGAAUUAAAUGCCUACCUCACAAUAUUCAAGUAGUAUAUAUGUAUAUUUUAAGACAACUUUUCUUCUAUCUUUAGGAAUAAGUAGGGAAUUUUAGUUUUCCUAUAUAUUUUAGUGGAAUAUUUGAGUAUUUUGUGUUUUAAGGUUUUUCUGCUACAUUUUUACUUUUAUAAGUUUUCAUGCAAUAUAUUUUGAUGAUAGUCUUUCCUUUACCUUGAAUUCUACUAAGUCCUUCCUAUUUCCUUACUGACACAAAGUCAUGUUUUGUUUUCAUUCUCUUUUUAAAAAAGAAAAAAGCUACCACAAAACCAAGAAGAUAAAAGUCAUAACGAGUUAAGGCACAUAGACAAAGCAUUUUAACUGACUAUUUCUGAACAAAAGGCCGACCCUGAAAUGUGGUUGAUGUACUCAGUUGAUAUUUCCAUUGAAGAAAACUGAAUUUUCUUUUAUUCAUCAAGCAUCUUCUACACCAUUUUCAACUCUUAUUAAUACUGGUAAUUUUUAAAAAAAGGAAAGAAUUUCUACAGUAUGCUGGUCACUUUUUUUGUCAACUCAAGACAAACUAGAGACACUAGGGAAGAGAAAAUCUCUAUUAAAGAAUUGCCUUCAUAGGAAUGGCCUCUGUACAGACAUGCCACUCCUACAUAGUACGACUUGAACUGUAUAAGAAAAAUACCAGAUGAUAAAGCCAGAGGAAGUAACACCAGAUAAAGCCAGAGGAAGUGACCAGAGACAGAAGAGACCAGGACCCUGGAGGAGAGAAAGAAGAAAGCAGAACAAGGGAACUGUGGUCCUGCACAGAGAGACAGUGGCAAAGCAAGCCUGUGAAACACACCUAGUCUGCCAGAGAAGAGGAGUCUGUCUCUGUACUGGAACUAGCUUCAGAACAUCUACCCACAACAUUUAUUCCAGCCAAACUCCUAGUGCCUUUUGAUUCUGCCAGGAAAUGAAGGAACUAGGCUGAAGAUGAGUGUAUGUGUUCAGCCAAACAAGGCUGCGUGUUUUCUAUGGCCCUCUGUCAUUCAGGUUCAAAAUAGCUCACUACUCUUAAGCAAGGAUAAGCUUUAAAAAUUAGCCCAUUUUCCCCUACUUCAGGCUUUAGUAUCCCUCACAGCCAAACCAAGCAAAGAGUGUGGUUUGAAAGAAAGCCCACAGAAGACUGCAAAUCCCAACCACAAAAGGUCCAUUUAUGAAAACAUUAUCACCAAGGUAGCUUGUGGCUCCAUACUUUAUAACUAAGCACAAAAUUCAUUAGAGUCAGAGUUCAACACAUUUUUGGAAAAAAUAUGUGCAGAACAUCUUCCAGUAAACUCUUAUAUGAAAGAAAAUGUCUAAGCAUAAUAAUAGUAAUAAUAAUAAUAAUAAUAAUAAUAAUAAUAAUAAUAAUAAUAAUAAACUCCUAGUCUUAAUUCACAGGAGGAUCACAAGUCAUAACUGUGUAUAUUCUAUUCACAAAAGCAUUGACUAUCUAUGGCCCACAGUUCCAUUCCUAAUAUCAUCCCUACCUAAAGGAUAUCACCUAAUUAUACAAAUAAAUUAUAAGACAUUAUUACUGAGAGGAAAUAAAUGGUAUUUAAAAAUCAUAUGGGAACUGCCACAAAACAUGGUCUUAUGCAACUUAUGUGAUUGUUGUGGUCAAUGCAUGUAGUGAGCGUGUGUGUGUGUGUGUGUGUGUGUGUGUGUGUGUGUGUGAGUAUGCUCAUACACUCACACACAGACAUGGAAAAGAGGAGGACUGGUUGACUGGAAUCAGGAGAAAUGGAUGAGGGUGGGCAACUGAGGAGUUGGAUACAAUCACAAUGCUUUGUAUACAUCUGGAAAACUGAACAAAGAUCUGCAUCCUGACCGUGCCCAGUGCAGGCAUAAGGUGGUAGACACAGAAGCUAUGCAAGCAGCUAUAGCAGCUAAGCUAUCAUGCCUCUGACCACCUGCAUCUGACCUGGCCAUGCUCUGGACAAGACCAGGAUGGUGUCUGUGGCACCUGAUAUCAUGGAGGAUCAUUCAGGUGUCUGUGGCCUAUGGACAUGCAGCCUGAAGCUACAUCAAUGUCCAUUGGUCAUGCUGACUCUGGGGCCAUAUUGUAAGUGACCUGUGCUGCUGCAUGAGGCCAUGAUUGUGUGUCCGGGUCCAUGAAACUACUGAGAAUCUUAUCUGGAGCUGUAGUCUUACUGCAGCAGGGCUCUGUGCUGAUGACCAUGGCUCUGAGUCCAUGCCAAUGUCUGUGAUUUGUGGUGCAGCUGAAAGCCACAAGGAUGAAGUAGGCUGUGCUCCUGCUGAGGGCUAUGUUGAUAUGGAUGCCUUACAUUAACACCUGAGACUGUGUUGAUGUCUAUGGUCUAGGCAGGCUCUGAGGGACUUCUUUGUGACCAUGGAGCAGAGGUGGGGGGCAUGUGCUGUUCCUAGAAAUAGUGUGAAGCCCCAUGAUACAUGUUCCUGUGAAGAGCAAAGAAGAUAUUUUUACUGUGAUAUCGAUGACUGCAGACAGAGUUGAGAAGAAGAGACAUGGAAGGUUUUUGUGACAACUCCUAUGCUCCACUGCAUUCUCCUUUAAAGAGAGAGAGAGAGAGAGAGAGAGAGAGAGAGAGAGAGAGAGAGAGAGAGAGAGCAAAAAGAACAGCCUUCAUAGAACUCUUAAAUAGGGUGAGAGAGGUGUUGAAGAAUAGUUCUCCACAAUUAAUGGCUUCGAGAUGGAAGUGAGUGAGUGAAAGGUCUUAGUUCUAUUUUAGGGGCAGACUGCUAAUAAUUUGACCAUGCUCCAGUGAGUAUAUAGAUAACACAAAGUGGACUUUUAAAUUAUUUUUUUUCACUUAUUUUAGGGGAAUAGGUCAGUAGUGGGUGGACAUGGAAGGACUAGGAAGGCAUAGUGAUUGGUGUGUUAAUGUGAAACUCCCAGAGAAUCAAUAAAAAUGUUAGGUACAUGAAAAAUUUAUAGAAAUAAAAAAAACUUUAUAGAGAGCAUAUUAUAAAGAUACAAGAAAGAAAAUGAAGGGGCUUCUUCUAGCCACAUCAAGUAGAAUUUGAGCAUCUCACACAUUAAGAGUAUUGAAGACUUUAGAAUUUUUCAGCCUCCUCUUCCUCAACUCUUGUGGAUUUAUCAGCUAGGGUUGGGCAUAUGUACAUAUGAUCCAAAUUAAAUAAAUAUAGUAUUUUAAAUCAUGAGGAUAAAGAACAAUCUAUUAGUUCUCACCAAUAAUAUUUAAUCACGGAUAAAAUAACAUAUAGGUAAUAGAUAGAUAGUAGAUUGAUUGAUAGAUUAAUAGAUAAUAGAUUGAUACAAAAAUGAUAAUUCAAAUGUUCAACAUUCAGAGACUGGUGCAGUUGGAAAAUCAAACUUUUAAAUUAUCAUAGCUGGAAACAAUCCAGAUGUCUCAUGAUAGAAGAAUGGAUACAGAAAAUGUGGUUCAUUUACAGAAUGGAAUACUACCCAGCUAUAAGUAUGAGGACAUCCUGACUAUUGCAGGGAAAUGGAUGGAACUAGAGAAUAUCAGGUAACUCAGACCAAAAAGUGCAUGUGUGUUAUAUAAUCACUAAUAAAUGGAUACUAGCCAAAACAAUGCUAAAUACCCAAGAUACAGCCUAUAGAACUCAAAAACAUCAACAAGCUGAAGGGCCCAAGUGAGGAUGCCUCAGUCUCACUUGGAAGGGAAAAGAAAGCAGCCACAAGGAGAGGAUGGAGGGGCCUGGGAGUGAAAGGGGAUAGGAAACAAAGAGGGUAACAUGAUCGGGAUUGGGUGGGGGGAAAGGACUGAGAUCCCUGAGGGACAACAGAAAGAAUGAAAACAUGAAAGAGACCUGGAUGAGAUGAGAGACUCUAAGGACUCAAAGAGGGGGACUUUAGAUGAAAUGCCCUUCAUUGGGGAGAGAGAACUUGUAGAGCCCACAUCCAGCAGAAAGACAGGGCAUCAAGUGAGGAAUGGGGUUGCCAUCCCACAGUCACAUCUCUGACUCAUAAUUGUUCCUGUCUGAAAGAACUACAGGGAUGGGAAUGGAGAGGGGCCUGAGAAUAAGAAGGUCCAGCGACAGGCCCAAAGUGGGAUCCAGCUCAAGGGGAGGUCCUAAGGCCUGACACUAUUAUUGAUGCUAUUGAGUGCUCACAAAAAGAGACCUAUCAUGAUUGCCCUCCAAAAAACCCAACAAGCAGCUGAAAGAGUCAGAUGCUGAUAUUUGUACCAAUCCAAAGGACAGAACCCUGUGUUUGAAUUAGGGGAAAGCUGGAAGAAGCUGAAGAGGAGGACGACCCUGUAGGAGGACAAGCAGUAUCAAUUAACCUGGACCCUGGAGAUAUCUCAGAUACUGGAACACCAAUCAGAAAGCAUACCCUAGCUGACAUGAGGCCCCCAACAGACAUUCAGCAGAGGACUUCCGGGUCGGGGUUUAGUUAGAGAAAUUGCACCUAAGCCUCAAAAGACUGGAGGCCCCAGUGAGUUUAGAGGUCUGGUGAGGUGAGGAUGGGGUAUUGCUGAUACCCUUGUGGAGACAGGGGACAGGGAGGAGGUAUGGCAUGUGGAACUGUUGGAGGUGAGCGGGAGGGGAAUAAAAUCUGGAGUUUGAAAUAAUAAAUAAAUAAAUAAAUAAAUAAAUAAAUAAAUAAAUAAAUAUUCAUAGCAAAAAUGCAUCAACCAAGAACUAUUAAUAAGUAAUUUAGGCUAAAUGUUUUGACAUUAUUUUGAGUUGUUAAACUUUCUAGGAUGUAUUUUACAUGGACAGAGCAUAAAGGGACAUAAGAGUUUUACCAGCACAGCAGGUUGCUCUUUAACAACUGCAUAGUGCAGAAAUGCAUAUUGACUGUCAGCAAAAUCAACAUCCACAAUGAGAGGAGCAGGUAGAUAAGGAGCCAGUGGAUGAAAUGCAUCCCUGACUAAACAAGAAAAGCAUGCUGUCACUCUGGAUUACCUUUGGCAUAACCGUGAGACAUUGACUAAAACAAAGUGGAAACUGGUCUGUUUGCAAAGGCAGAGACCUCAUACAUUAACAGAGCUUGUGUAACCUGGCCAUGGUGGUCAUCACCUGUAAUCCCAGUACUCCAGAGGUUGAAACAGGAGUAAUACAGGCUUAAAAAAGAGAAUGCUCUGAGCUAGAUAGUGAAUUCUAGACUACUCUGAAUUACAGUAUAAGGCCCUGUCUCAAAACAACAACAAAGUCAAUGUCAAACAACAAAAACUAACAGUAAAAGCUAAGUCUUUAGAAUUAAAAAAAAACCUGAGAGAUGCAACAACUAAAUACAACAAUCCUACACUGAAUUCUCUAAGGGGAAGGGGAAAUAUAACAGGACUGAAAUGGGACUAUAGCAGCACAUGAUUCAAAAGUAUUCCCAAAAUUAUUUUAGAAGAUUAUGUAACAGUAUUUCUGUCCCUAGGUAAUGUGUACUACAGUUCUUUAGAGAAAAGAAUGUUGAGUCAAACAAUGAAGUUUACAAACAAACACAUCCACAUGUACACACACACACACACACACACACCACAGCAAGUGAAAAAGCUGUUUGUGAUAUCUUGGGUAAAAGAUACUUGAGUAUUCUUCAUACUGUCAUUAUUGUGGAACUACAAUGUUGGCAUAUUUUUAUGUAAGUAUAAAAAUUACUUCUAAGUUGAAAUGCUUUUUCUCUGAAGCUCUAUUCUAAAAUUAUAAAUGUAAGGAAAGAUAGAAUGCCAUUUUAUACUCUUUGAAAAUAAAUUCUAAAUGGGAUUGGGGUUCUAACAUAGAAAUGCCAAUAAGCAUUUUCAAGGAUCAUAAAAUAAUUUCAGUAAAAUAGCUACAUCUUACCUCUUUGAAUAUAGACUACCUUCACUGCUUUAGGCUUCAAAAUAAAACACUGAAAACUGGUGAUGGUAGCUUAAAUUAGUUUUUAUGUUAAAUGAUUUUACAGUCAAUCUGCCUCAUUCUUACAUCAGAAGUGCCUUACACAGCACAAAACGGAAAAAUUUCUCCCUUCCCUAUGAUGGUCUCAACAAGUCAAUAUUUAUCUUAUGUUUAAUAAUUUAACUUAUGGAGGAAACACUAAGAGUGUCUGAACUGUCAGAAAAUAAAUCCUGAAGGGUGAAGGACAGGAAAGAGCAGAAAGGAACCCACCUAUGAAGUCACAAGGAUGUGCUUCAACCCUCAUUCAGAAGAAAGAUUUUAUUCUGAAGAAUUCAUGUUACUAUGGAAACAUGAAAUGCUAAUCCACAUGCACAAGACAACAAUAAGGGAGUCAAGACUUACAAGAGAAGAUUGAUGAACACACACACACAUGCAUGCACAUGCACACAUGUAGACACACAAACAUUCUCAUACAAAUGAAGCCAUGACCACAUAUGCACACACACACAUGUAGGCACAUAAAUGCACAUACACCCACACACUUGCACAUACAUGUACUCAUACCCACAUAUGCACACACACACAUGCAUGUGCAUACACUUGCAUACACAUUCACACACAUGCAUGCAUACACACAGAGGCAGCGCAAAUGUUUGCACAUACACGCUCACAUACACAAACACACAAGCAACACAAAUGUGUGUGCAUGCACACACACACAAAUACACAAAUACAUGCACACAAUGUGCACACACACAUUCACCCAUGCCCUCCCCACACAUACACAUGCAUGCACAUGCAUGCACAUGCAUGCACAUGCACACACACAUAAACAUCCACACACUCGCAUAUACACACACAAGUAACACAAAUGUGUGCACACACACGCACAUAUACACAUAAACACAUAUACCCACACAUGCAUAUGCACACACACACACACACACACACACACACACACACACACACACACACACACAUGUAUCACAUGCCACAGAAAAGAGGAGCAGGAAGAGAUCUGUGAGAAGUCUACAAAGUAAGACUUUGGGCCUGAAAUGUUCCUGAAGUAUAAAGAGCAAACACAAGGAGAUUCCCUGGUGUCUGUGGCAUUGGUUAUACUUGGUAAAGGGCCCCAUCCAGCCAUUCCUUUGAGUACUGACACAGUCAGAUGGCUCUGCUCGAGGUGAUGAAAGGGGGUGAUUUGCUCCUUAGGGUUGCCAGUCACUCGUGUCGUGUUCUGAUGCUGUCUGUCUCUUCUCUCUUAGACAUUUGGUGUGCCUGGGCACAAGGCAGAGCCCUUGUCAAUCACCCAGUGAGGCCUAUGACUUAGGCAUUUAUUUGGCUUCAGGAUUCAACUCUUUUCCUUCCCAAAAUAUAUGUUCUGUGGGGGCAGUGUCUUCUCCAUCACACUGCACCGUGUGAGUGAAAUGGCAAAUCCAUUAGGAUGGCGGUAUUUGUAAUUUAUUUUUGGGACAUCUUUCCUUCUCAGGGCCCACUCCAAUCAAGAAUAAGUGAUACCCAAAUCUAGGACAAACAAGCAUACUUUCUAAUGACUUUGAACCUUAAAACAGCUUAAAAGACAGGCUGUGUGAAAAGAAAGAGAGUAAAGCAAAUUGGGUUAAUUAAUCAGCCAGCACCGCCUGUCUCAAUUUUAUGAGCAUAUUUCGCUCACCCAAACUCUGUGCUCUAGGCUUCCAAUCACAGUCUCCCAGCAGGCACUACCUUCUCAAUUCAGAAUUUGUUUUCAUUGUUUGUAAUAAAAGAAAAUUAUACUGCAAGGCUAAUUACUAACCUGUAUGGACUUCUCUCUCUCUCUGUCUCUCUCUGUCUCUGUCUGUCUGUCUGUCUGUCUGUCUGUCUCUCUCUCUCUCUUU